UACGGGGGGGGCAAGCGUUGUUCGGAAUUACUGGGCGUAAAGGGCUCGUAGGCGGCCAACUAAGUCAGACGUGAAAUCCCUCGGCUUAACCGGGGAACUGCGUCUGAUACUGGAUGGCUUGAGUUUGGGAGAGGGAUGCGGAAUUCCAGGUGUAGCGGUGAAAUGCGUAGAUAUCGAGAGGAACACCUGAGGUGAAGACGGGUUGCUGGGCUGACACUGACGCUGAGGCGCGAAAGCCAGGGGAGCAAACGGG
rnacentral:rRNA from 1 species